rnacentral:hammerhead_ribozyme from 1 species
AUUCAGCUGACGAGUCCGACGUAGGACGAAACGCGCGUCUUGGAU